GCCCCCCCACCCCCGCUCUAGCUAAGGGGUGGGAGGAGAGCAGAUCUGGUCAUGACCCCCUCAGUUAGGGCAGGUGGGCGCUGCCUUCCUACGAGAGUCUGAAAAGGAAGACUUUCUUCUGGAAAGAGAAUGAAAGGGGAGAAGCUGCCCCUACUCUCUAAGAGCUGAAGAAUGAAGCUGGUGUGGGAUGGUAGCCCCAUGCGACCCACAGUCUGCAACUACCACAGUCCUCCAGAAGAAUCUACCAUAGGGAGAGUCCUAGGAAAAGCCUGUUCUCAACCUCCUCCUUACCCUAAUUCUGCCUGCUCCUUACGGUUCCACCUGAUGACCUAAUGCAGAAGAGUUCAAGUGCUCAGGCCCUGUGCUAACAAAAGCAGUCUGCUCAGCAUCCAAGAUGUAAAUCGCCCUCUGCCUGACACCUGGCCACAAGCUGCUGGAAGGAUGACCAGAAUGGCUGACUCCCCAUCUGUCAGAUGCCCUGGUGACAAUUUGCAGACAGAGUCCACAGCCCCGUGCAAGUCUAAACACUUUAAAAGGGCCUGACAGCUGGCACAUGGGUGUGUGUCAAGCAAGACACGGGCAGUAUGAGCUCUUGGAUAAGGUUCAAGGACAUUUCUAUAAACCAGAGCCCCACUCCUCCCCCCCCCCACUCCCCAAAUCAUCCUUCUUCCCUGCCUAGGACUGACUGGACAACUUUCCUCGGUAAUGUUGGAAAAAUAUCCAGAGAUGGAGAGAUGAGCCCUGGUACUUACUCCCCGGCCAAAGCAAGACUUCCUUCUCCACUAAGGAUUCAAAAAUGAAAGCCUUGCCAAGAAACCUCCAGCACCGCAGACCCCAGAGAUCUCACACAGUUCUGGAUUGAGAAGGAGAAAGUCAUCUUUGGUAUGCAAACAUUCGAAGAUAUAAAACCUGGGCUCCUGGAAAAAAGGAGCUGCAGAGGCCAGGUCCAAUUCACAGGGAACACCCAUAUGUGGAAAUCCACUGAGCUUAUCCUCAGCGCAGAUCAAAGCUUUGUAACUCUGGAGCCCUGGACCCUAGCCGGUACAUUGCCCCUCACUGUCACACAGUAAACAUUUGAUGAUUUACUA